rnacentral:ncRNA from 1 species
AAAGUGGAGAGUUUGAUCCUGGCUCAGAACGAACGCUGGCGGCGUGCCUAACACAUGCAAGUCGAACGAGAAAUCCUGAGCAAUCGGGAGAGUAAAGUGGCGGACGGGUGAGUAACACGUGGGUAAUCUACCUGCAAAUGGGGGAUAACUCCGCGAAAGCGGAGCUAAGACCGCAUAACAUUCUGAAAACACAAGUUUUUAGAAUUAAAAAUGGCUGAAUUCGUAAGGAUGCUAUUGUUUGCAGAUGAGCCCGCGUACCAUUAGCUAGUUGGUGAGGUAAUGGCCCACCAAGGCAACAAUGGUUAGCCGACCUGAGAGGGUGAUCGGCCACAUUGGGACUGAGAUACGGCCCAGACUCCUACGGGAGGCAGCAGUGGGGAAUAUUGCGCAAUGG